AGUAGUAUAGGAGUGUGUGGAAAGAAUGCAAGUAAUGCAAGAUGAGUGAGAACGGCGGGGUAAGCACGUUAAGCGUGCGUGUUGUCGGAUAAGGAGACGGGUAGCGAGUUUUCAGCACAGUCAUGAGAGGCUGUUCCAACGGAAGGUUGAUGUAUGCAGAGGCUGGUUGUAUCAUGACUGCCUGGGACCUGUAUGUAAGAGACGGGGGGUGGCCUCGACAAAAUGACCAGCCAGUACAUCGUCAGGUAGACUGACCCGAUGAGGAUCUGAAGUCAGCCUGACCUUAGUUCAGUUCAGGUGAUGAGACAGAUCAGCGUGACCUUUGAUCAAAUGUGACCCUUGGCAUGGGAUUAUAUCAUCUUGGACUGAGACCAGCGUGACCUAUAUCCAGACCAAGUGCCUCUGAUCCAUGAGCGUGCGCUAACUCUUGGAGAGGACUUUUGAUAUUUGCAAUGUGGCAGAUUGUGAACUUGGCGCAUAUUUAAUAAAAAUCACAAUAUUGGAAAAUUAUGUAAAACUGUUGUUGGUAUAUGUAUAUGUUAUAUAUUUGUGGGUAUGAAUGAUGAUGUAUAGGUGACUAUUCGAAAGACUGAUUUGGGGGGAAAUCGUAUUCAAUUUUCCUUUUUGGAUAAUUCUGUAAUAAAUUACAUUUAGUAUA